GUCCACGUAGCUCAGCAGGAUAGAGCGACCGCCUCCUAAGCGGUAGGUCGGAGGUUCAAAUCCCCUCGUGGACG
rnacentral:tRNA from 1 species